UACGGGGGGGGCAAGCGUUGUUCGGAAUUACUGGGCGUAAAGGGCUCGUAGGCGGCCAACUAAGUCAGACGUGAAAUCCCUCGGCUUAACCGGGGAACUGCGUCUGAUACUGGAUGGCUUGAGUUUGGGAGAGGGAUGCGGAAUUCCAGGUGUAGCGGUGAAAUGCGUAGAUAUCUGGAGGAACACCGGUGGCGAAGGCGGCAUCCUGGACCAACACUGACGCUGAGUGAGCGAAAGCUAGGGGAGCAAACGGG
rnacentral:rRNA from 1 species